UAUCUUUUCUUUUGCUGAACCAUAAAGUUCAGCUCUUCUUUCUCUUUGCUCUCGUUUCUUUCUUCUUCCCUUCUUACACGGCAAAACCUCUCUGUCACUCUCUCACCGAAAAUCAUAAAUAUCCCUCUCUAAGAAGAAACUGAAAGAAUAAUACUAAAGUUUUAGCUUCAAAAUUUGUGGGUGCAUCUCUCAUUUUCUCUUAGCGUGCACAGUUUCUUGGAAGCAGCGAGAGUAUUAGAGGUGGCAAUGAUUCUAUGAUUCUCGUUUGUUAGAAUGUAGAGUUUUUUUGUUGUAUAGCAAUUUAGCUCUUUUGUUGUAUAGGAGGAAUCAAGAUGUACUUGAUCUUUGAGCACAUAUGUAAUUUAGUAUUUUAGUUUGUUUGGAAUCCCAGUUUAUGUCAUUAAGGUUAGGUUUGUAAUUAAAGUUUUGCUAAAACGUUUAGCUAUGUAAUAUUUACACAGAUACCUUAAGUUUCAGCCAGGUGGUAAUUUUUCCAAGUUCAAAGGAAAUAAAAUUUCAAGGUUUUCAUCA